UACAGAGGGGGCAAGCGUUGUUCGGAAUUACUGGGCGUAAAGGGCGCGUAGGCGGCCUUCUAAGUCGAACGUGAAAUCCCCCGGCUCAACUGGGGAACUGCACGGGAAACAGCAGGGCUUGAGUUCGGGAGAGGGAAGCGGAAUUCCGGGUGUAGCGGUGAAAUGCGUAGAUAUCGGGAGGAACACCAGUGGCGAAGGCGGCUUCCUGGCCUGUUCUUGACGCUGAGGCGCGAAAGCUAGGGGAGCAAACGGG
rnacentral:rRNA from 1 species